rnacentral:rRNA from 1 species
AAGACCUUGCGCUUUUGGAGCGGCCGAUGCCUGAUUAGCUUGUUGGUAAGGUAAAGGCUUACCAAGGCUUCGAUCAGUAGCUGGUCUGAGAGGACGACCAGCCACACUGGGACUGAGACACGGCCCAGACUCCUACGGGAGGCAGCAGUGGGGAAUUUUGGACAAUGGGGGCAACCCUGAUCCAGCCAUGCCGCGUGAGUGAAGAAGGCCUUCGGGUUGUAAAGCUCUUUCAGCCGGAACGAAACGGUUACGGUUAAUACCCGUGACUACUGACGGUACCGGAAGAAGAAGCACCGGCUAACUACGUGCCAGCAGCCGCGGUAAUACGUAGGGUGCGAGCGUUAAUCGGAAUUACUGGGCGUAAAGCGUGCGCAGGUGGUUUUGUAAGUCAGAUGUGAAAGCCCCGGGCUCAACCUGGGAACU